rnacentral:rRNA from 1 species
GACGAACGCUGGCGGCGUGCCUAAUACAUGCAAGUUGAGCGCUGAGGGUUGGUACUUGUGCCAAGUUGGUGAGCAGCACACGGGUGUGUAACGCGUGUGACCUCUGCCUUUCAGCGGGGUACAACCUGUGAACACGAAUGCUAAUACCGCAUAAACUCCUUCAACACAAGUUGUAAGUUUGAAAUAUGCAAUUGCAUCAUUCACUGAUGAUCCCGCGUUGUAUUGGCUAGUUGGUGAGGUAAAGGCGCAUCAAGGCGAGGAUACGUAGCCGAAGUGAGAGGGCGAUCGGCCACAUUGGGACUGAGACACGGCACAAACUGACAGGGGAGGCAGCAGUAGGGAAUCGUCGGCAAUGGGCGAAAGUUUGACCGAGAAACGCCGCAUGAGGGAAGAAGGGUUUCGGAUCGUAAAACACUGUUGGUAGGGAAGAACGUGGGUGAGAGUGGAAAGAACAGCAAGUGACGGUAAUGAGUAAGAAAGAGACGGCUAACUACGUG